AACGCUAGCUACAGGCUUAACACAUGCAAGUCGAGGGGCAGCAUGAUUGAAGCUUGCUUCAAUUGAUGGCGACCGGCGCACGGGUGAGUAACACGUAUCCAACCUUCCGUACACUCAGGGAUAGCCUUUCGAAAGGAAGAUUAAUACCUGAUGGUAUCUUAAGCACACAUGUAAUUAAGAUUAAAGAUUUAUCGGUGUACGAUGGGGAUGCGUUCCAUUAGGUAGUAGGCGGGGUAACGGCCCACCUAGCCUACGAUGGAUAGGGGUUCUGAGAGGAAGGUCCCCCACAUUGGAACUGAGACACGGUCCAAACUCCUACGGGAGGCAGCAGUGAGGAAUAUUGGUCAAUGGACGAGAGUCUGAACCAGCCAAGUAGCGUGAAGGAUGAAGGUCCUACNNNNUGUAAACUUCUUUUAUAAGGGAAUAAAACCUCCCACGUGUGGGAGCUUGUAUGUACCUUAUGAAUAAGCAUCGGCUAACUCCGUGCCAGCAGCCGCGGUAAUACGGAGGAUGCGAGCGUUAUCCGGAUUUAUUGGGUUUAAAGGGAGCGCAGACGGGUCGUUAAGUCAGCUGUGAAAGUUUGGGGCUCAACCUUAAAAUUGCAGUUGAUACUGGCGUCCUUGAGUGCGGUUGAGGUGUGCGGAAUUCGUGGUGUAGCGGUGAAAUGCUUAGAUAUCACGAAGAACUCCGAUUG
rnacentral:rRNA from 1 species